rnacentral:rRNA from 1 species
UACGUAGGGGGCAAGCGUUGUCCGGAUUUAUUGGGCGUAAAGAGCUCGUAGGCGGUCUGUCGCGUCGGCUGUGAAAACCCGGGGCUCAACCCCGGGCCUGCAGUCGAUACUGGCAGACUAGAGUGCGGUAGGGGAGACUGGAAUUCCUGGUGUAGCGGUGAAAUGCGCAGAUAUCAGGAGGAACACCGGUGGCGAAGGCGGGUCUCUGGGCCGUAACUGACGCUGAGGAGCGAAAGCGUGGGGAGCGAACAGG